rnacentral:rRNA from 1 species
ACCUGGUUGAUCCUGGCAGUAGUCAUAUGGUUGUCUCAAAGAUUAAGCCAUGCAUGUCUCAGUAUAAAUUAUUUUACGGCGAAACUGCGAAUGGCUCAUUAAAACAGUUAUAGUUUACUUGAUGGCACUUACUAGUUGGAUAACUGUAGUAAUUCUAGAGCUAAUGCAUGCGUUCAAACCCGACUUCGAGGGAGGGUUGUGCUUAUUAGAUACUGAACCAACCCGCUUCGGCGGUUGUAGUUGAUUCAUAGUAUUCCAGCGAAUCGCUUGCCGAUGAAUCAUUCAAGUUUCUGACCUAUCAGCUUUCGAUGGUAAGGUAUUGGCCUACCAUGGCUUUGACGGGUAACGGAGAAUUAGGGUUCGAUUCCGGAGAGGGAGCCUGAGAAAUGGCUACCACAUCUAAGGAAGGGAGCAGGGCGCGUAAAUUACCCAAUCCUGACACAGGGAGGUAGUGACAAGAAAUACCAAUACAAAACUUAUAUGUUCUGUAAUUGGAAUGAGAACAAUCUAAACCCAUUACCGAGUAUCCAUGGAGGGGCAAGUCUGGUGCCAGCAGCCCGGCGGUAAUUCCAGCUCCAAUAGCGUAUAUUAAAAUUGUUGCGGUUAAAACGCUCGUAGUUGGAUAUUUGUUGAAGAAUGUCGGUCCACCCUAGCGGUGCGUACUCGAUAUGUCUUCGACAUCUUACUGGGGACAGUAAUUCCACUUUAUUGCGGGGUUGCACGAUCCAGAACUUUUACUUUGAGGAAAUGAGAGUGUUUCAAGCAGGCCACUGCCAUGAAUACGUUAGCAUGGAAUAAUAGCAUAGGACCUUGUGUCGUAGUGUUGGUGACGACAUAAGGUAAUAAAAAUAGGGAUAGUUGGGGGCGUUCGUAUUCAAUGUCAGAGGUGAAAUUCUUGGAUUUUGGCAAGACGACUACUGCGAAAGCAUUUGCCAAGGAUGUUUUUAUUAAUCAAGAACGAAAGUUAGGGGAUCGAAGACGAUCAGAUACCGUCGUAGUCCUGACCAUAAACUAUGCCGACUAGAGAUUGGAGGAUGUCAUCAUAAGAUUCCUUCAGCAACUUGAGAGAAAUCAAAGUCUUUGGGUUCCGGAGUAUGGUCGCAAGGCUGAAACUUAAA